AUGUGCUGUAUUUCGAGGAACAACGGGAACCUCUUCUCCUGAAAUCUCAUCAAAAACAACAGAUCCAAAUUGUUUCCCCAACUCGAUUGAUAAAAGUCUCUGCGAUAAUUCAGAUCUAGGAAUUGGUGGGAAAGCUGUAGAGAACAGCGAUGGAGUCACUGAGCAGCCAGAACAAACAUCAUCUCUGCCUACCAACACUGUGAGCUCAAUUUUAAGCGAAAUUUUGAGCUCUUCCUACGAUUCGAAUGUUUUCUCCACAAUUUCUGCUACUGUUGCUUCUAUCCUUGCAACUGCUCCUAGUUCAUGCUCAGGAAAUUGGUAUUCUGUUGAGCUGUCCGUUGAGCAAAUCGUUCAACAAUUAGCUGCAAUGUUUCAAAAACUCUUUGAAACUUUUUUCUCUGCACUCGGAAUUAUUAACGAUGAAUAA